AGGGGAUCCUUGCUUUAGGAUAGUGUUAGUUUUGGUUUUGGAAUUAUCUUUGUGUUAUGUAUUGGUAAAGAGUUAAUUAAGUGUGCGAUAGUGGACUAGUACCGUGGGGGGAUGGUGAAAUAUGUGAAAAUUCUGUUAUGAAGUAGCAUUUCUGUUUGAGUACCUUUUGUAUCAGGGGUCAGUUAGUUAUUAGUGGUUAUUUAUGGUUCCCGAAACCAUUGGAGCUAGGGCAGUGGUUGUUUCUCUUUGUAGCAAAAGGGUCUAGAACUUGUCUUAGGGGUGAUAUUCUAGUCGUCUUUGGUGAUAUCUGGUUACCCAGGAAGUUAAUUGAAUUAAGCCCUAUCUGUGAAUUGGCAUUAUUUUAGUGUGGUUUUAUGGUAGGGAAAUCUUAUUGUGGCUAAUCGCGGUAAGGUGGGAUAAUGGUUGUUUUUAGUGUUAUUUCUCUAGGCUUAGAAGUAGCCAUGUCUACAGUGUGUUAUAGUAGCUUUUUGGUUAUGUGAUUUAUAGUCCAUUUCUCUUUAUACUGGGUUCUUAGUGGUAAUUUUUAAUUUAAGUUAUAAUGUUGACAUUAGUAGGUUAAUGUGUGUGUUUUCUUUAUAAGGUUGUCUUUCUUUAAGGAAUUCGGCAAUGAUAGCUCUGCCUGUUUAUCAAAAACAUGUCCUCUUGAAUGAUAAGAGGUCGGUCCUGCCCACUGAGGUUUGAAGGGCUGCAGUAAUUUGACUGUACAAAGGUAGCAUAAUCAAUAGUCUUUUAAAUGGAGGCUGGUAUGAACGGUUUGACAAGGGCUUUACUGUCUCGAAGGUGAGACUGAAUUUGACCUGGGAGUUAAAAGGCUUCUAUUUCCGUGAGGGACGAUAAGACCCUAUAGAACUUUACAUUGUUCUUGUGUUGAGAUUUGGUGUUUAGCUGGGGCGGCUGGGACAGAUGAGCAUCUGUCUUUGUUUUUAUUAAUGUUAAUUAUUGGUUUAGAUCCGUUGGUCGCGAUUUUAAGACUAAGUUACCUUAGGGAUAACAGCGUAAUCCUUCUUGAGAGUUCAUAUUGACAGAAGGGAUUGCGACCUCGAUGUUGGGUUAAGAUUCUUCUUUAGUGUAGCAGCUAAGGCAGGAAGUCUGUUCGACUUUUAAACUCUUACAUGAUCUGAGUUCAGACCGGCGUGAGCCAGGUUGGUUUCUAUCUUCAUGAUGUGGUAUUUCCCCCCAGUACGAAAGGGACGGGGGAAAGGGACAUUCCUGGGAGUAGAUUAAUAGU
rnacentral:rRNA from 1 species